ensembl:ribozyme Gm22811 predicted gene, 22811
CUCACUAACAGGAAUAGUCACAGGGUGUAACUGUGAUCUCCCUGCAUGGGGACGUGAGUUCCGAGAGAACAGGGAUCCAAGCAUGGACAAAUUGUGCAGAAGAGGCCCCUAGUGGGCAGAUGUAUCCCCCACUGGAGCAUGUCACAGUGCUCAC